rnacentral:rRNA from 1 species
UCGAACGAAGCAUUUUAAAUGAGACUUUCGGGUGGAUUUUAAAAUGACUGAGUGGCGGACGGGUGAGUAACGCGUGGGCAACCUGCCUUACACAGGGGGACAACAGUUAGAAAUGACUGCUAAUACCGCAUAAGCGCACGGGAACGCAUGUUUCUGUGUGAAAAACUCCGGUGGUGUAAGAUGGGCCCGCGUUGGAUUAGGUAGUUGGUGAGGUAACGGCUCACCAAGCCGACGAUCCAUAGCCGACCUGAGAGGGUGUCCGGCCACAUUGGGACUGAGACACGGCCCAAACUCCUACGGGAGGCAGCAGUGGGGAAUAUUGCACAAUGGGCGCAAGCCUGAUGCAGCGACGCCGCGUGAGCGAAGAAGUAUUUCGGUAUGUAAAGCUCUAUCAGCAGGGAAGAAAAUGACGGUACCUGACUAAGAAGCUCCGGCUAAAUACGUGCCAGCAGCCGCGGUAAUACGUAUGGAGCAAGCGUUAUCCGGAAUUACUGGGUGUAAAGGGAGCGUAGACGGAUGUGCAAGUCUGAUGUGAAAGGCGGGGGCUCAACCCCUGGACUGCAUUGGAAACUGUAAAUCUUGAGUGCCGGAGAGGUAAGCGGAAUUCCUAGUGUAGCGGUGAAAUGCGUAGAUAUUAGGAGGAACACCAGUGGCGAAGGCGGCUUACUGGACGGUAACUGACGUUGAGGCUCGAAAGCG